UACGUAGGGGGCAAGCGUUGUCCGGAUUUAUUGGGCGUAAAGAGCUCGUAGGUGGUUCGGUAAGUCGGAUGUGAAAUCUCCAGGCUCAACCUGGAGGGGUCAUUCGAUACUGCCGUGACUAGAGUUCGGUAGGGGAGUGUGGAAUUCCUGGUGGAGCGGUGAAAUGCGCAGAUAUCAGGAGGAACACCCGUAGCGAAGGCGGCACUCUGGGCCGAUACUGACGCUGAGGCGCGAAAGCUAGGGUAGCAAACGGG
rnacentral:rRNA from 1 species